rfam:Emmonsia pasteuriana TAMH 9510 supercont1.299, whole genome shotgun sequence.
GCCGGGCUAGCUCAAUCGGUAGAGCGUGCGGCUCUUAUGUUAGUAUUUCAUGCAACCGCAAGGCUGCGGGUUCGACCCCCGCGUUCGGCU